rnacentral:piRNA from 1 species
AUGCCCUUUGUGUUGGACCUUGGAAUC